ACGGCAGCAUAGGUGCUUGCACCUGAUGGCGAGUGGCGAACGGGUGAGUAAUGCAUCGGAACGUGCCCAAUCGUGGGGGAUAACGCAGCGAAAGCUGUGCUAAUACCGCAUACGAUCUACGGAUGAAAGCGGGGGACCUUCGGGCCUCGCGCGAUUGGAGCGGCCGAUGUUAGAUUAGGUAGUUGGUGGGGUAAAGGCUCACCAAGCCGACGAUCUAUAGCUGGUCUGAGAGGACGACCAGCCACACUGGAACUGAGACACGGUCCAGACUCCUACGGGAGGCAGCAGUGGGGAAUUUUGGACAAUGGGCGAAAGCCUGAUCCAGCAAUACCGCGUGCAGGAAGAAGGCCUUCGGGUUGUAAACUGCUUUUGUACGGAACGAAAAGGCUCUUUCUAAUAAAGAGGGCUCAUGACGGUACCGUAAGAAUAAGCACCGGCUAACUACGUGCCAGCAGCCGCGGUAAUACGUAGGGUGCAAGCGUUAAUCGGAAUUACUGGGCGUAAAGCGUGCGCAGGCGGUUUUGUAAGACAGGCGUGAAAUCCCCGGGCUCAACCUGGGAAUUGCGCUUGUGACUGCAAGGCUAGAGUACGGUAGAGGGGGGUA
rnacentral:rRNA from 1 species